AAUCGAGACCUGUCAAUCACUAUUUGUAUUUUGUGGCUAAUUAACGCAACUACAUCGAACAGAAACGGGUCACAGCCUCCUAGUUGGAUUUGCGCUUGGCCAACUUCACUUCCUUGGCCCAGACGGUAUUGUUGAGGAACUCGCCCAGCAGGUAAAGUGACAGCGUGAAUCCAACGACGGCCGCAAAAAACAGGAUGCGUUGCGGAAGCUGGAGAACCUCGAGCACUGGAUACACCCACACACCCGAGUAGUGCUUCACCACGUGAAUCCAAACCAGGUAGGCGCCCAUGAAAAUGGCCAGUCCUGCGAGUCCUUGGCUUCGUUUUGGGUACGACCUGUACGAGAUGAACAGCUCCAGGAUGAUGAAAACCACUAUGUUGGUGUGCAGGACGUGGUUGAGCCAGCUGAAAGAGUCGAGCGAAGAUAUUAUCAGAGUGUCAUGAAAAAAC
ensembl:ncRNA asRNA:CR46262 antisense RNA:CR46262